rnacentral:rRNA from 1 species
CCCCCAUAGUCUGGGGAUACCACUUGGAAACAGGUGCUAAUACCGGAUAAGAAAGCAGAUCGCAUGAUCAGCUUUUAAAAGGCGGCGUAAAGCUGUCGCUAUGGGGAUCGGCCCCCGCGGUGCAUUAGCUAGUUGGUAAGGUAAAGGCUUACCAAGGCGAUGAUGCAUAGCCGAGUUGAGAGACUGAUCGGCCACAUUGGGACUGAGACACGGCCCAAAAACUCCUACGGGAGGCAGCAGUAGGGAAUCUUCCACAAUGGACGCAAGUCUGAUGGAGCAAACGCCGCGUGAGUGAAGUAAGGUUUUCGGAUCGUAAAGCUCUGUUGUUGGUGAAGAAGGAUAGAGGUAGUAACUGGUCCUUUAUUUGACGGUAAUCAACCAGAAAGUCACGGCUAACUACGUGCCCAGCAGCCGCGGGUAAU